GGAUUAGAUACCCUGGUAGUCCACGCCGUAAACGAUGUGUGCUAGCCGUUGGGCACUUAGGUGCGCAGUGGCGCAGCUAACGCGAUAAGCACACCGCCUGGGGAGUACGGUCGCAAGAUUAAAACUCAAAGGAAUUGACGGGGGCCCGCACAAGCGGUGGAGCAUGUUGUUUAAUUCGAUGCAACGCGCAGAACCUUACCAGCCCUUGACAUCCUGGUCGCGGAUUGUGGAGACACUUUCCUUCAGUUCGGCUGGACCAGUGACAGGUGAUGCAUGGCUGUCGUCAGCUCGUGCCG
rnacentral:rRNA from 1 species